rnacentral:rRNA from 1 species
CUAGUACGAGAGGACCGGAGUGGACGCAUCACUGGUGUUCGGGUUGUCAUGCCAAUGGCACUGCCCGGUAGCUAAAUGCGGAAGAGAUAAGUGCUGAAAGCAUCUAAGCACGAAACUUGCCCCGAGAUGAGUUCUCCCUGACUCCUUGAGAGUCCUGAAGGAACGUUGAAGACGACGACGUUGAUAGGCCGGGUGUGUAAGCGCAGCGAUGCGUUGAGCUAACCGGUACUAAUGAACCGUGAGGCUUAACCUUACAACGCCGAAG